CUACGGGAUGCUCCAGUGAGGAAUAUUGCACAAUGGGGGGAACCCUGAUGCAGCAACGCCGCGUGGAGGAUGACGCAUUUCGGUGUGUAAACUCCUUUUAUAUGUCAAGAAGAUGACGGUAGCAUAUGAAUAAGCACCGGCUAACUCCGUGCCAGCAGCCGCGGUAAUACGGAGGGUGCAAGCGUUACUCGGAAUCACUGGGCGUAAAGGACGCGUAGGCGGGUUGGAAAGUCAGGUGUGAAAUCCUACAGCUUAACUGUAGAACUGCACUUGAAACUUCUAAUCUAGAGUAUGGGAGGGGGAGAUGGAAUUAGUGGUGUAGGGGUAAAAUCCGUAGAUAUCACUAGGAAUACCUAAAGCGAAGGCGAUCUCCUGGAACAUUACUGACGCUAAGGCGUGAAAGUGUGGGGAGCAAACAGGAUUAGAUACCCCCGUAGUC
rnacentral:rRNA from 1 species